AUGGGCGCAGCCUGAUGCAGCCAUGCCGCGUGUGUGAAGAAGCCUUCGGGUUGUAAAGCACUUUCAGUCAGGAGGAAAGGUCAGUAGUUAAUACCUGCUAGCUGUGACGUUACUGACAGAAGAAGCACCGGCUAACUCCGUGCCAGCAGCCGCGGUAAUACGGAGGGUGCGAGCGUUAAUCGGAAUUACUGGGCGUAAAGCGUACGCAGGCGGUUUUGUUAAGCGAGAUGUGAAAGCCCCGGGCUCAACCUGGGAACUGCAUUUCGAACUGGCAAACUAGAGUGUGAUAGAGGGUGGUAGAAUUUCAGGUGUAGCGGUGAAAUGCGUAGAGAUCUGAAGGAAUACCGAUGGCGAAGGCAGCCACCUGGGUCAACACUGACGCUCAUGUACGAAAGCGUGGGGAGCAAACAGGAUUAGAUACCCUGGUAGUCCACGCCGUAAACGAUGUCUACUAGAAGCUCGGAACCUCGGUUCUGUUUUUCAAAGCUAACGCAUUAAGUAGACCGCCUGGGGAGUACGGCCGCAAGGUU
rnacentral:rRNA from 1 species